GGGCUUGUGGUUUAGUGGUAUAAUACUCCCUUAGCACCUUUAGAUGCAACGUCGUACUGUUCUUCAGUAAGAAAUCAGCUCUAAUAAUUGUCUGGGAGUGGUCCGGGGUUCGAUUCCCCGCGAGUCCA
rnacentral:tRNA from 1 species